rnacentral:misc_RNA from 1 species
GGCAGAUUGAAAGAACGCACAAGGCAACGUCUUUUAAAUAUUUGCAAGAAAGGAAAAUACUGGAACGGAACACAAUUCAAGCUACAAUGUGCAAUAGGAGAUAAAAUUCUAGUCAGAAAAGAAAAGGAAAACAGAGACGAUUAAAGCUUAUGAGAUUUUCAUAAAGAAAUAUCACUGCUUUCAUGUUUUAACUCAACAUAGGCGGGGUGAGACAGAAAAAUUGUCCAAAUUCAUUGCUACUGAUAAUUCUAUUCACCGCAAUAUGAUAGUGACUAAAGCAAA